rnacentral:rRNA from 1 species
AGAGUUUGAUCAUGGCUCAGAUUGAACGCUGGCGGCAGGCCUAACACAUGCAAGUCGAGCGGAAACGAGUUAUCUGAACCUUCGGGGAACGAUAACGGCGUCGAGCGGCGGACGGGUGAGUAAUGCCUAGGAAAUUGCCUUGAUGUGGGGGAUAACCAUUGGAAACGAUGGCUAAUACCGCAUGAUGCCUACGGGCCAAAGAGGGGGACCUUCGGGCCUCUCGCGUCAAGAUAUGCCUAGGUGGGAUUAGCUAGUUGGUGAGGUAAUGGCUCACCAAGGCGACGAUCCCUAGCUGGUCUGAGAGGAUGAUCAGCCACACUGGAACUGAGACACGGUCCAGACUCCUACGGGAGGCAGCAGUGGGGAAUAUUGCACAAUGGGCGCAAGCCUGAUGCAGCCAUGCCGCGUGUAUGAAGAAGGCCUUCGGGUUGUAAAGUACUUUCAGCAGUGAGGAAGGGGGUGUCGUUAAUAGCGGCAUUUCUUGACGUUAGCUGCAGAAGAAGCACCGGCUAACUCCGUGCCAGCAGCCGCGGUAAUACGGAGGGUGCGAGCGUUAAUCGGAAUUACUGGGCGUAAAGCGCAUGCAGGUGGUUUGUUAAGUCAGAUGUGAAAGCCCGGGGCUCAACCUCGGAACUGCAUUUGAAACUGGCAAACUAGAGUACUGUAGAGGGGGGUAGAAUUUCAGGUGUAGCGGUGAAAUGCGUAGAGAUCUGAAGGAAUACCAGUGGCGAAGGCGGCCCCCUGGACAGAUACUGACACUCAGAUGCGAAAGCGUGGGGAGCAAACAGGAUUAGAUACCCUGGUAGUCCACGCCGUAAACGAUGUCUACUUGGAGGUUGUGGCCUUGAGCCGUGGCUUUCGGAGCUAACGCGUUAAGUAGACCGCCUGGGGAGUACGGUCGCAAGAUUAAAACUCAAAUGAAUUGACGGGGGCCCGCACAAGCGGUGGAGCAUGUGGUUUAACUCGAUGCAACGCGAAGAACCUUACCUACUCUUGACAUCCCAAGAACUUAUCCAAAAAUGUCUUUGUGGCCUUCCGGGAAACCUUAAAACAAGUGGUUGCUUGGGUGUCCUCCACCCCGUGUUUGGAAAAAAUUGGGGUAAAUUCCCCCCAACAAGGGGGAAACCCUUAUUCUUUGUUUUUCCACCCAAGCAUUGUCUGGGAACUCCACGGAGAAUGCGCGGUGGUUAUAACCCCCCGGGAAGGGAGGGGGGGCGCCCCUCCAA